rnacentral:tRNA from 1 species
GCUGCUCAAACUCAGCGGUAGAGUGCAUGCCUUGCAAGCAUGAGGCCCUGGGUUCGAUUCCUCAGCACCA